AACGUAGGUGGCAAGCGUUGUCCGGAAUUACUGGGUGUAAAGGGAGCGCAGGCGGGAGAGCAAGUUGGGAGUGAAAUCUAUGGGCUCAACCCAUAAAUUGCUUUCAAAACUGCUUUUCUUGAGUAGUGCAGAGGUAGGCGGAAUUCCCGGUGUAGCGGUGGAAUGCGUAGAUAUCGGGAGGAACACCAGUGGCGAAGGCGGCCUACUGGGCACCAACUGACGCUGAGGCUCGAAAGCAUGGGUAGCAAACAGG
rnacentral:rRNA from 1 species